rnacentral:rRNA from 1 species
UACAGAGGUCCCAAGCGUUGUUCGGAUUCAUUGGGCGUAAAGGGUGCGUAGGUGGCGUCGUAAGUCGGGUGUGAAAUCUCGGGGCUUAACUCCGAAACUGCAUUCGAUACUGCGGUGCUUGAGGACUGGAGAGGAGACUGGAAUUUACGGUGUAGCAGUGAAAUGCGUAGAGAUCGUAAGGAAGACCAGUGGCGAAGGCGGGCU